AAUACAUGAUGACAUUUCUCAUAAAAUGCAACGUCUCAGAAAAUGAAGCAACAAUUGCUUGCUGACAGAAGCCACAGAACACAAUAUAUAAAUUAAUAAAUGGUUGGUGUCAUGACUCUUAAACUUAUGUGUAUUAGAGUCCACGUAAAGAUCAUCACUAUUCACUAGCUUUUGAACACGUUGGAGAUCAAAAUUGAAAGAGUCUUCGGAAGAAAAAAGCGCAGACAGCCAACAGGUUCAUGGAAAACGGAGACAACCCUAGAGGGUUCAACAAGUAUGUCUGUUCCUCUGUAUUAGGUGCCACUACUGUCUCAGCUAUAUUUGGUUAUGGUACGAGCAAGUCAUCUAAGUGGUGAUUGCCAUUACAAGCGGGAACUACUAAGAGGUUUCAUGAAACUAUGAGGGCAUGAACAGUUUUAAUUUGUGAUAAAGUUGAAUGGAAGAUUGGUCUAACCUAUGGGAUGUAAAUAAUGGUAAAAUUAUUGACUACAAAAAUUAGAAAGGCUUAAUAUAACUUGCCAUCCUCAAUAUUUGCUUCAUGUGCAUUGUACUCUAAAGGCAAUAUAAACUUAUUUGGAGUGUGACUCUCUCCUUACCUUUGGCCAAGGUACAGUAUCCUGUGAAGUGUAUUAUAGAAAUCCUGUUCCUAGGUAAUGAUGACUUUGGUCAACAACUAACCGAUGGGCUAAUCCUUCAUUUUGUAUGAGAUGCCUUUUUAGAUGGAUUGAACCUUGAGCCUAGUCUAGAGCAAGGGUGGUUCACACAAAUGAUAUAGCUGAAGGGGUUAAAAAACAUCUGGAAGCAUAAUUUGCACACUAGGAAUGUGUGAGAAGAAGAGUUUUGAAAUCUCUGUCUUCACAUCCCAGUUGCUUUGGUCAUGCUGCCAAGGAUUCUAUGGAAGCCAUAUGGGAUAUCUGUUACAACGAUACACAACCCUUUGAUAGAGCUCCUUAAAAUCUAAAUGGCUGGUGCUAGCUUAGAAUCAUAAUAACCCAUUGUUGGUUUCUUAUUUUGCAUGUAACAUUAUUCAGUCAAAUCAUAGCCACAUUUCAAUGGCUUAGUUAGUCUUUCAUGAUUUAUUGUUUUAGAAACCUUCAUUUUCAGGGUUCUUCCAAGUGUGUUGUGUUGAUGGUUUAUUCUUUAUAUAGUUCCUGUACUAAGAAUAUUAUGUAAUUUGUCGAUAAAGACUUGCUUGGAGAAAA